CAGUAGCCGCGGGAAUACGUAGGUGGCAAGCGUUGUCCGGAAUUAUUGGGCGUAAAGGGCUCGCAGGCGGUUUCUUAAGUCUGAUGUGAAGGCCCCCGGCUCAACCGGGGAGGGUCAUUGGAAACUGGGAAACUUGAGUGCAGAAGAGGAGAGUGGAAUUCCACGUGUAGCGGUGAAAUGCGUAGAGAUGUGGAGGAACACCAGUGGCGAAGGCGACUCUCUGGUCUGUAACUGACGCUGAGGAGCGAAAGCGUGGGGAGCGAACAGGAUUAGAUACCCCUGUAGUCCCUGUCUCUUAUCA
rnacentral:rRNA from 1 species